ACUCCUACGGGAGGCAGCAGUAGGGAAUAUUGGGCAAUGGGCGCAAGCCUGACCCAGCGACGCCGCGUGAGGGAUGAAGGUCUUCGGAUUGUAAACCUCUUUCAGUAGGGAAGAAGCGAAAGUGACGGUACCUAAAGAAGAAGCACCGGCUAACUAUGUGCCAGCAGCCGCGGUAAU
rnacentral:rRNA from 1 species